CAAUAGCGUAUAUUAAAGUUGUUGCGGUUAAAAAGCUCGUAGUUGGAUUUCUGCUGAGAACGACCGGUCCGCCCAUUGGGUGUGUAUCUGGCUCUUUCUUGGCAUCUUCUUGGUGAACGUUACUGCACUUGACUGUGUGGAGCGCUACCCAGGACUUUUACUUUGAGGAAAUUAGAGUGUUCACGGCAGGCAAUCGCCUUGAAUAUAUUAGCAUGGAAUAAUAACAUAGGAUCUUUGUCCUAUUUUGUUGGUUUCUAGGGCUGAGAUAAUGAUUAAUAGGGAUAAUUGGGGGCAUCUGUAUCAACGCGUCAGAGGUGGAAUUCUUGGAUUGCGUUGCGACAAACUACUGCGAAAGCAUUUGCCAAGGAUGUUUUCAUUGA
rnacentral:rRNA from 1 species